rnacentral:rRNA from 1 species
UACGGGGGGUGCAAGCGUUAAUCGGAAUUACUGGGCGUAAAGCGCACGCAGGCGGUUUGUUAAGUCAGAUGUGAAAUCCCCGGGCUCAACCUGGGAACUGCAUUUGAAACUGGGAAGCUAGAGUCCUGUAGAGGGGGGUAGAAUUCCAGGUGUAGCGGUGAAAUGCGUAGAGAUGUGGAGGAAUACCGGUGGCGAAGGCAGCCCCCUGGACGAAGACUGACGCUCAGGUGCGAAAGCGUGGGGAGCAAACAGG